GAGGAGGAGGGGGGGGGGGGGGAGAUGCUCCCUAAAGGAGGAGGAGGAGGAGGAGGAGGGGGGAGGAGAUGCUCCCUAAAGGAGGAGGAGGAGGGGGAGGAGAUGCUCCCUAAAGCCUUCCUUUUUCUUCCACCCUGGUCUGUACCUGUAUGUGCAGCUUGUGCACGCGAGUGCCCCCCCCCCCCCCCCCCCCUCCCCUCUGGGAGGCAACAUUUGCGGGAAGCAGCGGUGGAAACGCAUGAACACACACACACACACGCGCGCACACACACACACCCACAUGCGCACACACACACACCCACACGCGCGCACACACACACACCCACAUGCGUGCACACACACACACACAAACACACACAAACACACACACAGACACACACCCACAUGCGUGCACACACACACACACAAACACACACACACACCACACACACAGAGACACAAACAAACAAACACUGCUCAUCCUCCCUCUCUGGACUUUGCCUUUCCUGCCAACCUCUGCACGGUGGUGAGACUGAGGGCGGAGGUGAACCCACGGGGGGCCGGGGGGUGCGUCCCCACCACGGCCAUCGUUAAUAUCUACUAGGUUAAUGUUCUACGAGGCUCUGCUCUGCGUCAGUCAUAGGAACCUUUGACCUCUGACCUCACCCCCCACUGGUCUCGUGGGCGGUUUCCGCUCGGCCAGGUAGACGAGGUAACUCUUUGACUCAGAUCGGGCUGCUCGGCCCGGACGAUAUAUACAUUUGUCAACGUUUAAAAUGGCGAGAUUAGCCGAUUCUGAUGAAAAACUCUCCUCAGAUUAGCAUAGCGAAGACUCUGAUCCGGGACCCCCCCCGGGACCCUUGUGUGCCAUCUUCAAAUCAAGUGGCGCUUGUCGUGGCGGCGCCACGGUCAUAUAGGAGCGUCGUACUCCUCCAGGUAGUCUUUGAUGGUGUGCGGGAGCUGCUCGGACUGUUCUGACCUCCCCAGGCCCCGAUUGUUGAGGGUGGUCCUGCACAAAUGCUGCAGGGACGAGAGCGAAGUCAAAAGGGGGCGACGUAAUUCCAAAGGAAUCCUCUCUCCGCCGGUGUGGAUCAAGUAAACGCUGCGCGCCUUCAUCUCGGCCCCCCCGGGGUCGCCCCCGCAGGCGCCGGCGCCGCCCCGGCCUCCGGCCUCCGACCCUUUGCCCAUGUAGUGCGCGAUGAGUUUCAGCACGCAGUCAAACUGGGGGAGCUCGUGGGCGUUCUGAGGGUCCGGCUGCAGGAAGAACCCCCCCCCCCUCGCUGUGGAUGCGCAGGUUCUUGGUUCCUCGGGCCGUCUGCACCGAGAGGGUAAAGAAGUGGUGAUGGUCGGAGGAGUCGCGGAUCAGGAAGGUACCGGGUGGUUCGGAGCGCAGCGUGGAGCUGGCCUCCCGGCCCCCCAUGGCCCCCCAGUAAAAGCCACUCUCCUGGAGCUUCCGUAAGGCGCGCAUCACCUGAAAAGACGCGCACAACGUGUUAGUACAGAACCAGAACCAGGAUUGGGAUCUGGAGUCCUCGAGGGGAACUGACCUGCUGGUAAUGCUCGUUUGAGCUAAACGGCUUGAAGUGAUGCGGGGUGAAGUUUGACCCCUGAACCCUGGCGUCCGCUGACCUCACGCUGCUCAUGGCGAGGGCUUUUGGUCCGUUGAAGGUUACCAUGAUGCCAUGGCCCCCUGCCUCCGCCUGCUGGUGGAGAGGCAGGGGGCCCACAAGAGGAGGGUGGAGGUGGACAGGUGAGGGCGGGCUCGGAGCAGGGGGGGGCGCCAGGCGGAGGGGCGUAGGCUGAGGGUGGCGGGGUCACACACCGGGUCCAGGGCCCCGGGGGAGAGGAGUCUGACGCAUCCAGAGAGGGGCUGGGAGAGGGCACCUAAACACAGCUGGGGGGGGGGGGGAAGGGACGGAGUACAUAUUAGGUCAACGAGCUUGGAAUUAUGCCAGAAAAGGAUCCCUGGUCACGGACGCGAAUUCAGCCCCACUUCUCCAGGCUGGUGCGCGGUCAUGGCGUGAGUCACGGGCAGGCGGGGGGCGCUCGGUUUGGGGGCCGCGGCCGCCUCCGCUCGCACCUCCCGCGACAAGGGGCCUCACGAACGGGGUCACGGAGAAAGAGCCCGGCGCGCUUUGCCCCCCCCCCCCUCCUCCUCCUCCUGCGUGAAAUAAUACCCCCCUCUCCCCUGCACGGGGAGCGACACAGAGGCACCAUUCUCCGGUUUCAGAAUGACCAGAAGGGGGUCCCGUCCCGCGCUGCUCGGAACCCCCGGAGGCUGCGGAUUUACCGGCCAGUGCAGGACGGUUCGGAGCCGCUAGAGAAGCGCCGCUCCGGUCACUGACGCUCACACAGCAGCGAAAAUGCGCCUCUACCCAGCUCGGUGGCGCCCACCGGAUCCCAGCCUGGAUCUCCGCUUCCAUUUCCACCCAAACAUCAAUUAUCUCGGUCAUUUGCAGCCGCAGCCGCUGCCUUUAAACUUACCUUGCGGAUUUGUUGAGCCCGGCGCUGCAGCCGCUCGGACACAAAGGAGAGCCGAUGCAAACUACCCGAGAGUAGUGCCAGAAAAAUGAUUAACUCAGGCAUUAAAAUCCGCAGUAAAGUAUCCAGAAAGUGUGUGGGUUCCUUUCCUGGACGGAGGAAUGCGUCAGCGGCGGUCCGAGCCGGAGAGGAGCCCAGCCGAGUGUGGAGGAAGGUUAUUGGAGGUUGUUGCCAAUGAGUAAAGCCGAUGUUCGUAAGGCUCCGCCCCCCGCGCUCGGAGCGCCUUCCAGUAAACACACGCACGCCCCGCGCGAGCACGCGCGCCCGCGUGCUGAGACAGAUAGUGCCCAUAAAUAAUCGGCGUGACCUUUGCUGGGCGGCUUCCUGGUAGUCGCGGGUUCCAUUCUUGAAAAGUUGAAUCAAAGCGGAACGUAUGGGACCAGAUUGUGACGCAACAGCCUUUGAUCCGCGGCUCAAACUCGCACAUUUGCGCGUGUGCCGUCGGUUUCCUGUAUUCUCGAGCAAUGGGCAUCUUGUGAUUUAUUGAAAGAGCGUUGCCUAAUAUAUGUUUCCCGAACGGACUCUGCUGCUCCUGUAACACAUCCAAUUAACUAAAGCGCGGUGAAUAAAUAAAGCUCUACCUCCGGGGCCGCUCUCGCCCCGGGAACCACAUGUGCAGCUCAUUAUUUUUCUUUUAGCAUCAUUUAGAAAGUGGCGUGAUUAACUUUGACCGUGCGGGAGCAGGGCAACGUCCGAGGAUGAUUCCUCGUGUGUGUCAGUAAAUCGGGAAGCGUCGGGAUUACUGUAAGUGCUCUUGAGCAACCCGCUGCCGCUGAGGGCGAAUGCAAAUAAAAAUCUAAUUCCUGCCUUUAAAAUGGGCCGCGGAGCCCGGGGUGAGGAUAUUUACAGAACGUGUGCUGAUGGAAUUAUUAAUUAUCAUCAUCGUCACGUGACAUUGUUGAUUAUUCAUGAGACAUUUGAUAAAACCCACAUGAGACGUUGAGGCAAAACUAUUACACUAUAACACACAAUAAAACCUUAUCUUAUUUCAGGCGAUGCCUGAUAAAGGUCUUAUCAAAGAUAACAAGUUAUGUUAUUAUUUACUUACAAUAACCAUUCAUGAGAGGACUAAAAAGCUCGUUGUCAUGUUGCGUCGAGCACUUUAAGGAAGUUUUAA
ensembl:lncRNA